UACGUAGGGUGCGAGCGUUAAUCGGAAUUACUGGGCGUAAAGCGCACGUAGGCGGACAUUUAAGUCAGGGGUGAAAUCCCAGAGCUCAACUCUGGAACUGCCUUUGAUACUGGGUGUCUUGAGUAUGGAAGAGGUGAGUGGAAUUCCGAGUGUAGAGGUGAAAUUCGUAGAUAUUCGGAGGAACACCAGUGGCGAAGGCGGCUCACUGGUCCAUUACUGACGCUGAGGUGCGAAAGCGUGGGGAGCAAACAGG
rnacentral:rRNA from 1 species